AUUGAACGCUGGCGGCAGGCCUAACACAUGCAAGUCGAACGAGUGGCGGACGGGUGAGUAAUGUCUGGGAAACUGCCUGAUGGAGGGGGAUAACUACUGGAAACGGUAGCUAAUACCGCAUACCAUCGGAUGUGCCCAGAUGGGAUUAGCUAGUAGGCGGGGUAAAGGCUCACCUAGGCGACGAUCCCGAGCUGGUCUGAGAGGAUGCCCAGCCACACUGGAACUGAGACACGGUCCAGACUCCUACGGGAGGCAGCAGUGGGGCAUAUUGCACAAUGGGCGCAAGCCUGAUGCAGCCAUGCCGCGUGUGUGAAGAAGGCCUUCGGGUUGUAAAGCACUUUCAGCGAGGAGGCGUUACUCGCAGAAGAAGCACCGGCUAACUCCGUGCCAGCAGCCGCGGUAAUUC
rnacentral:rRNA from 1 species